rnacentral:rRNA from 1 species
AGGCAUCUUCUUGUUUUUAAAGACCUAGCAAUAGGUAUGCUUAGGGAGGAGCUUGCGUCACAUUAGUUAGUUGGUGGGGUAAAGGCCUACCAAGACUAUGAUGUGUAGCCGGGCUGAGAGGUUGAACGGCCACAUUGGGACUGAGACACGGCCCAAACUCCUACGGGAGGCAGCAGUAGGGAAUUUUCGGCAAUGGAGGAAACUCUGACCGAGCAACGCCGCGUGAACGAUGAAGUAUUUCGGUACGUAAAGUUCUUUUAUUAGGGAAGAAUAAAUGAUGGAAAAAUCAUUCUGACGGUACCUAAUGAAUAAGCCCCGGCUAACUAUGUGCCAGCAGCCGCGGUAAUACAUAGGGGGCAAGCGUUAUCCGGAAUUAUUGGGCGUAAAGGGUGCGUAGGCGGUUAAAUAAGUUUAUGGUCUAAGUGCAAUGCUCAACAUUGUGAUGCUAUAAAAACUGUUUAGCUAGAGUAAGAUAGAGGCAAGUGGAAUUCCAUGUGUAGUGGUAAAAUGCGUAAAUAUAUGGAGGAACACCAGUAGCGAAGGCGGCUUGCUGGGUCUUUACUGACGCUGAGGCACGAAAGCGUGGGGAGCAAACAGGAUUAGAUACCCUGGUAGUCCACGCCGUAAACGAUGAGUACUAAACGUUGGGUAAAACCAGUGUUGAAGUUAACACAUUAAGUACUCCGCCUGAGUAGUACGUACGCAAGUAUGAAACUUAAAGGAAUUGACGGGACUCCGCACAAGCGGUGGAUCAUGUUGUUUAAUUCGAAGGUACCCGAAAAACCUCACCAGGUCUUGACAUGCUUCUGCAAAGCUGUAGAAACACAGUGGAGGUUAUCAGUUGCACAGGUGGUGCAUGGUUGUCGUCAGCUCGUGUCGUGAGAUGUUGGGUUAAGUCCCGCAACGAGCGCAACCCUUAUUGUUAGUUACCAGCACGUAAUGGUGGGGACUUUAGCAAGACUGCCAGUGAUAAAUUGGAGGAAGGUGGGGACGACGUCAAAUCAUCAUGCCCCUUAUGACCUGGGCUACAAACGUGAUACAAUGGCUGUUACAAAGGGUAGCUGAAGCGCAAGUUUUUGGCGAAUCUCAAAAAAACAGUCUCAGUUCGGAUUGAAGUCUGCAACUCGACUUCAUGAAGUUGGAAUCGCUAGUAAUCGCGAAUCAGCAUGUCGCG